rnacentral:rRNA from 1 species
GAUGAACGCUGGCGGCGUGCCUAAUACAUGCAAGUCGAGCGAACAGACGAGGAGCUUGCUCCUCUGACGUUAGCGGCGGACGGGUGAGUAACACGUGUAUAACCUACCUAUAAGACUGGGAUAACUUCGGGAAACCGGAUCUAAUACCGGAUAAUAUAUUGAACCGCAUGGGUCAAUAGUGAAAGACGGUUUUGCUGUCACUUAUAGAUGGAUCCGCGCCGCAUUAGCUAGUUGGUACGGUAACGGCUUACCAAGGCGACGAUGCGUAGCCGACCUGAGAGGGUGAUCGGCCACACUGGAACUGAGACACGGUCCAGACUCCUACGGGAGGCAGCAGUAGGGAAUCUUCCGCAAUGGGCGAAAGCCUGGCGGAGCAACGCCGCGUGAGUGAUGAAGGUCUUCGGAUCGUAAAACUCUGUUAUUAGGGAAGAACAAAUGUGUAAGUAACUAUGCACGUCUUGACGGUACCUAAUCAGAAAGCCACGGCUAACUACGUG